CCACAAUGUGUAUCUCUGUGUCACACUGUGUGCUCUUUAUUGUGUACUCUUUAGCUACAUUAGCCCGGUAGCUAAAGAAGCAUUUCUUUACACACCACAGAGCUGUUUUUACCACUUCACUUGGCAACACCAGAAAAGAGAAGUGAGAGUCUCCUGCUGUGGUUUGUGAAAGCUGCAGAUUUCUGUGCAUUUGUAGGAGAACUCAACACGAGGCAGCUGAGAUGGGCGUGGGUCACCUUCAGACCGAAUGGCUCUGGACUUCUCUGAUCGUUUCAGGUGUUCUGGCCGGGGACUGGAUGGUACAGGUUCCAGAAAGUCCAAUCUGUGCUCCCGCUGGUUCCUCUGUGACGGUGCCAUGCACUUACGACUUCCCUGAGGACUCAUCACAGGGGACGCCUCGCAAAGUGCUUUCUGAGAUGUGGUGUCGGAAUGAGAGCUUCUGCAUCACCCAAACAUACGUCUACCACAGCCGUGGGAUCUUCAUAGACCCUGCGUACCGGGGCAGGGUGCAAUACCUGGGCACAACCGGGUCCAAAAACUGCUCUUUCAGGAUAACAGACCUGAGGACCACUGAUAGUGGGGUCUACGUGUUUCGGUUUAUUACGGACCACCCCGUGGAAAAGCUGCCAGGCCAGAAGGGUAUCACCCUACAAGUGACAGGUACUGUUGAGGAGAUGUUCCAGUUACAUUGUUCAUACAGAAUUUUCUCAGUGUCACUUAAGCACCAUUAGAAAAAGAAGUUUAUUCAAGUGUGUUAUUAGUAUAAUUCUUUUUAUAAUUUUAUUUCUAAUUUUCUCAUCAAUUUACACGGCCAGUUACCGAACCCACUCAUUAGGACUCCCCCUAUCACUAGUGAUGCCCCAACACUAGGAGGGUAAAAACUAGAACAUGUCUCCUCCGAUACAUGUGAAGUCAGACUCUGCCUCUUUUUGAACUGCUGCUGAUGCAGCAUUGUCGAGUAGCAUCACAGGGCACUCGGAGGAAAGCGCAGCAACUCAGUUCUAAUACAUCACUUCACAGAUGCCUUGUGCUGAUCAACAUCACCCUUUUGGAGUGAUGAGGGAAAAGAGAGUGCCAUCUACCCACCUAGAGAGAGCAAGGCCAAUUGUGUGCUCUCUCAGGGCUCUGGUGGCCGAUGGCAAGCUGCAUGAACAGGAUUCGAACCCACAAUCUCCUGAUCAUAGUAGCAGUGCUUAGCCCGCUGGACCAUUCAAAGCCCUUAGAAUACUUCUUUUAAACUAAAAUUAGGCAAGUAUGGUUCAGAUAACUUUUUUGUACUUAUCAGUGACAUGCUAAACAUAAUGAUACUUAAGUAUACUUGGCUUAUACUGACAAGUAUACAGAAGAGUCAACAGUAAGUGUAUUUAGCAUAUACUUGUACUUAAUCUUUUGAUCUAGAUAUACUUAACAAAAGUACAAUUAAAUUUUCUUACCUUAUAUGUAAACUAUGCUUGGCUUGUAUAGUUUGAGGUGGAAUAUCUUAGAAUAAAUAGUACACGAAUGGCA
rnacentral:lncRNA from 1 species